GUAGUCUCGCACAGAUGCAUAUCAAUAAGCGGAGGAAAAGAAACUAACAAGGAUUCCCCUAGUAACGGCGAGUGAAGCGGGAAGAGCUCAAAUUUGAAACCUUAAAGGGUUUCCCUUUACGAAUUGUAGUUUAAAGAAGUGUUUUCUGUUGAGGUUUUGGUAAAAGUUCUUUGGAAUAGGACAUCAUAGAGGGUGAGAAUCCCGUAUUUGACCUUUACUUUCAACUUUGUGAUACACUUUCAAAGAGUCGGAUUGUUUGGGAAUGCAGUCCAAAAUGGGUGGUAAAUUUCAUCUAAAGCUAAAUAUUGGCGAGAGACCGAUAGCGAACAAGUACCGUGAGGGAAAGAUGAAAAGAACUUUGAAAGGAGAGUUAAACAGUACGUGAAAUUGUCAAAAGGGAAGCGUUUGACACCAGUGUUGUUUUUCUGAAAAUCAAUUAAAGAACUGUUUAUGCUAAGCUGUUUAGACUUUAUCAGCUAACUGUUUAGUUUUGAGCUUUUCUUUAAUGCACUUUUCAGUUAACAAGUCAACAUCAAUUUCUUUUGCUGUAAAAAAGCUUGAGGAAGGUGGCUUGAGAUUCGUCUUAAGUGUUUAUAGCCUCUUGCCUAUGCAGUCGGAGAGAUUGAGGUCUGCAGCGUAGAUCCUUCGGGGCUAAAUGCAUUUGUGCUAAGUUAUAGCAUUUUAUAGACAACUUGUUGACUAUGAUUUGUCUUGUAGCUUACUCGCUUAUGUUAUUUUACCUACGCUUAGGAUGUUGAAGACUCUACAGAGAUA
rnacentral:rRNA from 1 species